rnacentral:misc_RNA from 1 species
UUGCUUGUACGAGUCCUUGUUCUUUGAGUUGUAUUCAAUCUCCGCCUUGCGAACACCUUUUAUAGCAAUCAUAAGCUUUUUCCCAAUUAGAUCCUCCAAGACAUCGUCUUUCUCCAGAGCUUCUAGAGACUCAGAAAGGGAUUUGGGCAAUCUUUUUAGUUUUGCAUCUAGAUAAGAAGGAUUGGUAUCAACAGGUUCAGGCAGAGAAAGAUGCCUUCUAAGGCCAUCAAUGCCCGCUGCAAGUAUAGCCGC